rnacentral:rRNA from 2 species
UGGGGAAUAUUGGGCAAUGGGCGCAAGCCUGACCCAGCAACGCCGCGUGAGGGAAGAAGGUUUUCGGAUUGUAAACCUCUGUCCUAUGUGAAGAGAAGAAGACGGUAGCAUAGGAGGAAGCCCCGGCUAACUACGUGCCAGCAGCCGCGGUAAUACGUAGGGGGCGAGCGUUGUCCGGAAUGAUUGGGCGUAAAGGGCGCGUAGGCGGCCUGUUAAGUCUGGAGUGAAAGUCCUGUUUUCAAGAUGGGAAUUGCUUUGGAUACUGAUGGGCUUGAGUGCAGGAGAGGUUAUCGGAAUUCCCGGUGUAGCGGUGAAAUGCGUAGAGAUCGGGAGGAACACCAGUGGCGAAGGCGGGUAACUGGACUGCAACUGACGCUGAGGCGCGAAAGUGUGGGGAGCAAACAGG